UAUCUCGUGCAGAAAUAGAACAAACCAAUCGAAUUUCUUCAUAUUUUAUUUAAACAAGAAACACGUGGAACCAAUUAUAAGAAAGGGAUGACAUAAUGUAACACAUUCACAAUAUAACCAAUAAAUUAUAUAUUUUUUAUAACUCUUAUUAGAUGAUUACAAAUACAUUUCAAUAUAGAUAAUAGCUAGAUUGCAAAUUUUUCUGCACUUAUGGAAAAUUUAAAAAUACAGAAACGUGCAAAAUGCAUAUUAUAAGCGAAAGUACAUAAUAUAUGUAACGUAUAAUAUUCACUGAAUUAUUUAACGUAUGAAAUAAAUCGCUGCAACAAAACAUCCGCAAUAAUAUCCUAAUAAUAAUUUAAAAUAGCCAAAAAUAGAAAUUAGUCUUAUAUAUAUAUUAUCAUAUAUAUUAGAAAUUAUCAUAUAUAUAUAUUCAUUAUUAGUGCGUUGCACGAAUUGAGUUAAUAACUGUGAGGUUAUUAACCUUCUUGAUUUAAUCGAAGAUUAUAAAAUAAGUUUUUACAUUUUAUUCCUCAAGAUACAGAAAUGUCAUAAAUUACAAAUUUCAAUUCUGAGUAUCUUUUAGAUAUUAGGCUAUGAACAUUGUGUGAAACAUUUCCAUUUUUAUGGAGGACGGCACGCUAUAAACCAAUGUCUCCAUUGAAAUUAUCGCUUAAAGGUUGCGCAAUUAAUUAUUGGAAUAGUUACACGCGGGCACACGCACGUAUUAUCGCCUACGUUCAUUUUCGUCCACGCAUUGUUUAACACUACAGGAAACUAAAUAAACCGUCCAUUGAGAUAUAACAGGUUCAGUGAGAGAGAGAGAGAGAGAGAGAGAGAGAGAGAGAGAGAGAGUUUUUGCGUAGAAAAAGUAAACAGUUAAACGGGAGCAAGUUAAUAGUGAACAGAACCGCUGUAUCAAUGUAAAUCAAUAAAAUCGACGAUGAAACACGGUCUGGCUUGCUACUAUGUAUGGGUGACGAACGUCAAUCGGAUAUGUAAGCAGACGUAUUGUGACUACAAGUUGUGCAUUUUACGUGAUCACUUCCAGGGACCACAUACAGGGUGUGCCGCUAUGAAACGUAUGUGGAGCGUGCGAGGGCUAGGCACAGGCGCACCCACGAUAAAUAAGAUUUAAAUCUGCCAGUAUCCUUUUAUUUCGUUGGUGCAACAUUUAUAGUAAUUUCUAAAUAGAGGAACAGAUGCAUAACCAUAAGAAAAAAUCAAACAUGUGGGUGGCGAAGGAAUCAGCCGGUUGAAAAUUUACUCGCUCUACAAUUUGAAUACUAAAUAUACGUAUAAUUCAUUACUCUAUGGGAAUGUCCUUGUCAGGUCCAAGGCAAACUGGAUAUCAGGAUCAAUAAAGAUAUUGGUAGGUAUAGGACUGAACCAAUGCAGGACUCACCGACAAGAUCAAUAAGCAACGUAAGCGGACCCUUCUUCGCAAGGCAUUCAAUGCUUUCUUAUAAACGGCCUUUCAUGUCGCCUUUAUACCGGUCCUAUCCUUACAAAAAUCCAGGUGUCUGCUAUUGCAAGAGUGGCCUGUACAUAACAUGCACAGUACAUACAUAUACACGAAGUCGUCAACGAGAAAUGUUCGUAAAUACGAUUGUACCUUGUAAAAGCAACAACUGCGUUGUACAUACCUGAUAAAAUAUGCAUAUCUAACGCAAUAUUGGGUAUAUGUAUAAUAUUUUACUAUUUUAUGAAUAUGUACUAUAUAAAUUAGGACUUUAUUUAAAAAGGCAAUAAAAAAUUUAACACAAAGGUAAGGUUAUUAUUUGAGAAUCAAUAAUCUAUCAAUACGGAACUCAAUCGCCAAAUCAAUGACUGGCACAUUUAAAAAAUUUGCGAAUCU